GUUAUAUGGUCAAGUGAAGAAGCGCAUACGGUGGAUGCCUUGGCAGUCAGAGGCGAUGAAAGACGUGGUAGCCUGCGAUAAGCUUCGGGGAGUCGGCAAACAGACUUUGAUCCGGAGAUCUCUGAAUGGGGAAACCCACCUAGCAUAAGUUAGGUAUCUUGCACUGAAUACAUAGGUGUAAGAGGCGAACCAGGGGAACUGAAACAUCUAAGUACCCUGAGGAAAAGAAAUCAACCGAGAUUCCCUUAGUAGUGGCGAGCGAACGGGGAUUAGCCCUUA
rnacentral:rRNA from 1 species